rnacentral:rRNA from 1 species
ACGAACGCUGGCGGCGUGCUUAACACAUGCCAGUCGCACGAUGACGACCGAGCUUGCUCGGUCUGAUUAGUGGCGAACGGGUGAGUAACACGUGAGCAACCUGCCCUUCACUCUGGGAUAACCUCGGGAAAUCGGGGCUAAUACCGGAUAUGAGCUCCUGUCGCAUGGCGGGUGUUGGAAAGUUUUUCGGUGAAGGAUGGGCUCGCGGCCUAUCAGUUUGUUGGUGAGGUAGUGGCUCACCAAGGCGAUGACGGGUAGCCGGCCUGAGAGGGCGACCGGCCACACUGGGACUGAGACACGGCCCAGACUCCUACGGGAGGCAGCAGUGGGGAAUAUUGCACAAUGGGCGAAAGCCUGAUGCAGCGACGCCGCGUGAGGGAUGACGGCCUUCGGGUUGUAAACCUCUUUCAGCAGGGAAGAAGCGAAAGUGACGGUACCUGCAGAAGAAGCGCCGGCUAACUACGUG